AAUAUACGCGCGCACGCAUGGGAAGCUUAGCGCGCCAAGCAAUCUGAAAAUUUUCUGAUCUAUCCCAUAUCUCUCUGUCCUCUCUCCGUUGUAUCUUCCUCUCCAAAAAAUCCCUAUCCAGAUCUGAGCGGCGGUGGCUCCCAUCCUCUUCAUCCACUUCGCUCCCUCAGAUCAAGCUCUGCCACAAAGUUAAGGAGGGUCUCGCCGCCCGAUUUGGAGGAAGGUCUCACCGCCCUGUGGAUUUGCAUGCUUGAAGCAAGAGAGUUCCACCCUGGAGUGGAGGAACUGGUACGCGGUCGUCGAUCUGUGCGCGUCUAGCCAUGGAUAUGGCAGCCAGGCCGCCGCCCCUGCCCUUGCGCUUCGGGCAGAGGCUCGUUCUUCCUGCUGCUGGUCACUCUUGGCGACUAGCGUUCCUCCCGGUGGUGGCUCUCUACCCACUACGUCAGCUUUCUCCCAGCUGCCGCGCCCAUCAACACCUAUCUCGUCAUUCCCGUUUGGUUCGAAUUUUAUGUGCAACUGUAAGCAUUUCUUGUUUGUAUUAAUUCCCUCAGAUCUUUGUUUGUCAGUUUGCAGUAGAACUAUUCAUCUUUCCUGGGGGAUUAGAUGAUUUGCCACACUUUAUCAGGGGUUUGAUGAUUUGCCCCAGGAUUGUGUGAAUGGCAAGUGGACCCGGCCCCACCCGUCAAUCUCAGGGGGAGGGGCAAAUGAUCAAAGUGAAAAGUAAAGUAUUGAUCCGGCAACACACAGGAAGAUGCAAAGAAGCAUGAUGGGAAAAAGGCCGGUUUCGACUUUGGACAUUUGAACAAAUUAUACACUGGAUAUUGCUUGUAUUAUAAUAGAAGGAGAAAUCUUCUUAGUUUCUGAAUCCUGAGAAGUAGAAAGUCGGGUGCUUAACGGUGAUCCUACCAUGCAUAUGGCAUAAGCUCUUUUGGACGACAAAAAGGUAAGCUAUCUUACAGUUAAACAGUUGGAAGAAGUAUUACAAUAUAUUCUCCGAAGUAUUAUUUCAUUACCAAUUUUCUAAGGUUACUCCCAGCUUUCUUCUUUACCAGGGAAUUUCUAUCAUGAUUCCUCUCUUUCCUUGCUUUACCUUGUUAGAUUUUUGUUUCUGUUCAUAUACAAUAUGAAUAUUUUUCUCUCAUAUACUCCUUCUGCUGGAAACUUGCUGAUUUUAGGGGUGCUGCUACUACUGCAAAGACUGUUUCAUAAAAAACAAGUAGUGGUUGAUCGACACUUUGGGAUGAGCGUGCAUGUGUGGAAGGAAAUAAAAGGACAACGCUCAAACAAAAGGACAACACUCACAAGGAACCAUGAAGCCAGCGAUCGUGUCUCCUUUUUGUGAACGUGAUGUAUGGUGUUCUGGUGGUUAUGCUUGGAACAGACUAAAGCCUGUGUAUGUGACAAUUAUCUAAUGGAAUAAAAAAAUGUUUGGUGCACCUAA